rnacentral:misc_RNA from 1 species
GAUGAAGAACGUAGCGAAAUGCGAUAAGUAGUGUGAAUUGCAGAAUUCAGUGAAUCAUCGAAUCUUUGAACGCACAUUGCGCCCGCCAGUAUUCUGGCGGGCAUGCCUGUUCGAGCGUCAUUUCAACCAUCAAGCCCCAGGCUUGUGUUGGGGACCUGCGGCUGCCGCAGGCCCUGAAAACCAGUGGCGGGCUCGCUGUCACACCGGGCGUAGUAGAUUUUAUCUCGCUCAGGGCGUGCUGCGGGUUCCGGCCGUUAAAAAGCCUUUUUUACCCAAGGUUGACCUCGGAUCAGGUAGGAAGACCCGCUGAACUUAAGCAUAUCAAAAGCGGAGGA